rnacentral:rRNA from 1 species
CAAAGUGGGGGAUCUUCGGACCUCACGCCAUCGGAUGUGCCCAGAUGGGAUUAGCUAGUAGGUGAGGUAAUGGCUCACCUAGGCGACGAUCCCUAGCUGGUCUGAGAGGAUGACCAGCCACACUGGAACUGAGACACGGUCCAGACUCCUACGGGAGGCAGCAGUGGGGAAUAUUGCACAAUGGGCGCAAGCCUGAUGCAGCCAUGCCGCGUGUGUGAAGAAGGCCUUAGGGUUGUAAAGCACUUUCAGCGAGGAGGAAGGCAUCACACUUAAUACGUGUGNUGAUUGACGUUACUCGCAGAAGAAGCACCGGCUAACUCCGUGCCAGCAGCCGCGGUAAUACGGAGGGUGCAAGCGUUAAUCGGAAUUACUGGGCGUAAAGCGCACGCAGGCGGUUUGUUAAGUCAGAUGUGAAAUCCCCGAGCUUAACUUGGGAACUGCAUUUGAAACUGGCAAGCUAGAGUCUUGUAGAGGGGGGUAGAAUUCCAGGUGUAGCGGUGAAAUGCGUAGAGAUCUGGAGGAAUACCGGUGGCGAAGGCGGCCCCCUGGACAAAGACUGACGCUCAGGUGCGAAAGCGU